AGAGUUUGAUCAUGGCUCAGAGCGAACGUUAGCGGCGGGCCUAACACAUGCAAGUCGAACGCGAAAGGGAUUCGUCCCCGGUAGCGUGGCGUCCGGGUGAGUAACACGUAGGAAAUCUUCCCUAGAGCGGGGGAUAACGUCCCGAAAGGGACGCUAAUACCGCAUAAGCCCACGGCGACUCCGGUCGAAGAGGGAAAAGCUGGCCACUGUAUACAAGCUAGCACUUUAGAUGAUCCUGCGGCGCAUCACUAGUUGGUGGGGAAUGGCCCACCAGGCUUAACGCGUAGCUGGCUGAGAGGAUGAUCACCACACUGGCACUGAAACACGNNNCNNACUCCUACGGGAGGCAGCAGUGGNNAAUAUUGGCAAUGGGCGCAAGCCUGAUCCACCACGCCGCGUGAGUGAUGAAGGCCUUCGGGUUGUAAGCUCUGUGGGGAGGGACNACGCGCAAAAGAAACGGUGCGUCCUUGACGGUACCUCCUUAGCAAGCACCGGCUAACUCUGUGCCAGCAGCCGCGGUAAUACAGAGGGUGCGAACGUUGCUCGGAAUUACUGGGCGUAAAGCGCAUGUAGGCGGAUCGAUAAGUCGGGCGUGAAAUCCCCAGGCUCAACCUGGGAACUGCGCUCGAAACUGUAGGUCUUGAGUGUCGGAGAGGAUGGCGGAAUUCCUGGUGUAGAGGUGAAAUUCGUAGAUAUCAGGAGGAACACCGGUGGCGAAGGCGGCCAUCUGGACGACAACUGACGCUGAGAUGCGAAAGCGUGGGGAGCAAACAGGAUUAGAUACCCUAGUAGUCC
rnacentral:rRNA from 1 species